GACGAACCGAGCGAACGUUGUUCGGAAUCACUGGGCUUAAAGGGUGUGUAGGCGGGCUGUCAAGUCCGGGGUGAAAUCCUCCCGCUUAACGGGAGAACGGCCUCGGAUACUGAUGGUCUCGAGGGAGAUAGGGGCACGCGGAACUGUGGGUGGAGCGGUGAAAUGCGUUGAUAUCCAUAGGAACUCCGGUGGCGAAAGCGGCGUGCUGGAUCUCUUCUGACGCUGAUACACGAAAGCCAGGGGAGCAAACGGG
rnacentral:rRNA from 1 species